AAAACAUCGCCUCUUGCAAAGUAAUGAAUAAGAGGUCCCGCCUGCCCUGUGACUCUAAGUUUAACGGCCGCGGUAUUUUGACCGUGCGAAGGUAGCGCAAUCACUUGUCUUUUAAAUGGAGACCUGUAUGAAUGGCAUAACGAGGGCUUAGCUGUCUCCUUUCUCUAGUCAAUGAAAUUGAUCUCCCCGUGCAGAAGCGGGGAUAGAACCAUAAGACGAGAAGACCCUAUGGAGCUUUAGACGCCAAGACAGACCAUGUUAAACACCUCCCCAUAAGGAGCCCAAACCAAAUGGUCCCUGCCCUAGUGUCUUUGGUUGGGGCGACCGCGGGGAAACAUAAAACCCCCAUGUGGAAUGGGAGCACCCUCUCCUACAACUAAGAGCUACAGCUCUAAUGAACAGAAUUUCUGACCAACAAGAUCCGGCAAUGCCGAUCAACGGACCGAGUUACCCUAGGGAUAACAGCGCAAUCCCCUUUUAGAGCCCAUAUCGACAAGGGGGUUUACGACCUCGAUGUUGGAUCAGGACAUCCUAAUGGUGCAGCCGCUAUUAAGGGUUCGUUUGUUCAACGAUUAAAGUCCUACGUG
rnacentral:rRNA from 1 species